rnacentral:tRNA from 1 species
GGGGAUUUGGCUCAGUGGUAGAGCACUUGCCUAGGAAGCGCAAGAAAUACCCA